rnacentral:ncRNA from 2 species
AAUGGCAAUUACAAUGGGAAGCAAGCUGUAAGGCGGAGCGAAUCCGGAAAGAUUGCCUCAGUUCGGAUUGUUCUCUGCAACUCGGGAACAUGAAG